rnacentral:misc_RNA from 1 species
GAUGAAGAACGUAGCGAAAUGCGAUAAGUAGUGUGAAUUGCAGAAUUCAGUGAAUCAUCGAAUCUUUGAACGCAUCUUGCGCUCCUUGGUAUUCUGAGGAGCAUGCCUGUUUGAGUGUCAUUAAAUUCUCAACUACACUGACUUUGAAUUGGUGUGGCUUGGAUUUGGGGGGAAAAUUGUUGUGGGCUUUUUGUAUAGUCUGCUCCCCUGAAAUUGAUUAGCGGUACCUUUGUGGAACUGUCUACAGGUGUGAUAAUUAUCUACAUCUUAGACAUCUGCUGGAAUGCUGCUUUCUAAACCUUACUUGUAUUGACAAUCUUGACCUCAAAUCAGGUAGGACUACCCGCUGAACUUAAGCAUAUCAAUAAGCGGAGGA